GGAGACGCCGCCUCGCGGGACGCCCAGAGCCCCCGCCUGCCCGCAGCAGCAUUCAAGCUUCUUACUGAGGAUCCAAGAAAGCAGCCAAGUGGAAAAAGUUGGAGUGGGAUAAAAGUCGGGACUCUAUGUUCUAAACUAAUGACCAGCAUUCUACAGUUCUCGACUACCUGGAGGAAGCUAUCUCUGACAAACCUCUGGGGAAACACCAUAGCACAUGACCUUGGUGAAGGCCACAGGAGAAUUCCCAAGUGAAAAGAAGCAAGGAACAAGAUGCAACUAUGAGUCCUUGCGAAAUGGUUUUCCAGAAACCAAAAGACAAGUUUUCUACCUUCUAAACUAUUCAGAUGUUUCAUCAUACAAAACACGAAAUCAAGAUUCUUCCUAAUCACUCCCUGUUGAAGAAGCCUCUAUAUUCAAAUUUAAAAUCAGAAAUUCUCAAAAAUGUUACCACACUUUAAAAAGUAAACAGUAAACAUACUCCAAAGCAUUUGAAGUUUAAAGUGCUUUAAAAAAGAAACUGCACUUAUGAAUCACCCUUCCCUUUAUUAGUUGUUCAGUUUCAUAUUGAAGUGAGACUCAGCUAUCUGUUUUUGGUAUUUCCUCCUGAUACCUAAAAGAAAGUAUCACUUAUUUUACAUCAUUCCUACCAUGCCCUUUCAUGUUGCUGAUUUAUAAAAUGCUUUCCAAAAGUAUUUCAUUUGAUAACACAUUGUUACUUGGGUUCUGGCUUUUUUUUUCAGGUUAUAAAAACCCACCUUUUAUUUUUACCCGGCAAGUGUUGGGGGAGUCUGUAACAAAAAUAGGUCCACAUGGGGCCUCCCUGCUGGCGCAGGCUGUUGAGCACAGCGUCAUGAAGUUGUCCGCAGCCUCUGCAGUGUGGGUUCAAUCCGGCCGGCUGGGGAGAGUCUCCUGUCUCGCCCGCUGCUCCCCUCAGCAGUGUAUUUCGUCAGUCUGCCUGUUCUGUUCCCCACUUUGUCUCUGGUGAAUCUUCUCACCCUCCUGCGCCUCUGGCCUGUAUCCCUGUUCUUGUA